CAAUACUGGAAAAAUACAAAAUACAACUACUCAAAGUCUUUAGGAAUUUGGGAGGAAAGCUGAAAUUUUAAAUAAAAGACAAGCAUAUGGCCAAAGGCUUAUCUCUAUCAGCAUAAUUUUAGAGAGAAUAAUAGAUACAAAAGAUGUGGAAGACAAGUACUGGACAUGUACUGAUCAAGGAACACUCAUAAAUGUUUG